rnacentral:lncRNA from 1 species
UUGGGUUAGCAGACGGGCUAACAGGUCAUGGAAGUAUUACGCACAGAAAGGAAGUUCCUAAGCACCUUGGAUCUGCUUCAGGACUUCUUCUUCUGGGACGUAGACCCUCUCGAAGGUCUUGCCGACCUUCUUCUCCCAGAGGGAAAUGAGCUCGUUAUGAGACAAGAUGUUGGCGGAAGGUCUCAGAUAUAGAACCUUGUUCAGGGUUCUCGGAUCAUCCACUGCUUUAAUUGUGUAUGUCCCGAUGUCGUCUUCAUUGAGAAAGAUCGCUGUUGUAGGAGGAAAAAAAACGCCAUUAAAUAAGAGAUGGCCAUAUAUUUUACAUCUUGCAAAAGAAGACGAAGAGGAAUUCACGCCAUACCUUUUGUGUUCCCGUCACCUAAGAUGACAACCUUGUCCGUGGGAGGACCAGUGGCUCCUGCCUGUCCCAAUACCGGGAGGAAAUACCCACCGAAGAAGUUGGAAGAUACAAAGGUGUAAGGGAUCCCCGAUGCCUCAACAGCCCUUCUAAUUUGUUGCUUGACGACAAAGGUCGACUUUGCUGGCUCCACAGCAUGGCUUCGGUCUACGUCGUUGCCAAACUCCGAUGGAAGGUACCUCUGCGA